rnacentral:rRNA from 1 species
AUUGAACGCUGGCGGCAUGCUUUACACAUGCAAGUCGAACGGUAACAGGCCGCAAGGUGCUGACGAGUGGCGCACGGGUGAGUAAUGCAUCGGAACGUGCCCAGUCGUGGGGGUUCACUACUCGAAAGAGUAGCUAAUACCGCAUACGAUCUAUGGAUGAAAGCGGGGGACCGUAAGGCCUCGCGCGAUUGGAGCGGCCGAUGUCAGAUUAGGUAGUUGGUGGGGUAAAGGCUCACCAAGCCAACGAUCUGUAGCUGGUCUGAGAGGACGACCAGCCACACUGGGACUGAGACACGGCCCAGACUCCUACGGGAGGCAGCAGUGGGGAAUUGUGGACAAUGGGCGCAAGCCUGAUCCAGCAAUGCCGCGUGCAGGAAGAAGGCCUUCGGGUUGUAAACUGCUUUUGUACGGAACGAAACGGCUCUGGUUAAUACCCGGGGCUAAUGACGGUACCGUAAGAAUAAGCACCGGCUAACUACGUG